GUGAACGCUGGCGGUAGGCCUAACACAUGCAAGUCGAACGGCAGCACAGUAAGAGCUUGCUCUUACGGGUGGCGAGUGGCGGACGGGUGAGGAAUACAUCGGAAUCUACUUUUUCGUGGGGGAUAACGUAGGGAAACUUACGCUAAUACCGCAUACGACCUACGGGUGAAAGCAGGGGAUCUUCGGACCUUGCGCGAUUGAAUGAGCCGAUGUCGGAUUAGCUAGUUGGCGGGGUAAAGGCCCACCAAGGCGACGAUCCGUAGCUGGUCUGAGAGGAUGAUCAGCCACACUGGAACUGAGACACGGUCCAGACUCCUACGGGAGGCAGCAGUGGGGAAUAUUGGACAAAGGGCGCAAGCCUGAUUCAGCCAUACCGCGUGGGUGAAGAAGGCCUUCGGGUUGUAAAGCCCUUUUGUUGGGAAAGAAAAGCAGCAGGUUAAUACCCCGCUGUUCUGACGGUACCCAAAGAAUAAGCACCGGCUAACUUCGUG
rnacentral:rRNA from 1 species